rnacentral:snoRNA from 1 species
UUUCCCAUUUGACUACCACGUUUUCUCCUAAUAGAUUUUAGUGGCUAUGCUUAUGGGAUAGAUGAAAGGUGCCGUGAUCUGAAGAGGGAGGAUUUUCAGUGUCUUCCCCCUAUAUGAAAUGGCUGGACACACACAC